rnacentral:tRNA from 1 species
UAGCUUAAGGCUAGAGUGGAAAACUGUUAAUAUUAAAAUAAAGGUUUGAUUCAUUU